UACGGAAGGCAGCAGUGGGGAAUAGUUGCACAAUGGGCGAAAGCCUGAUGCAGCUAUGCCGCGUGUAUGAAGAAGGCCUUAGGGUUGUAAAGUACUUUCAUCGGGGAGGAAAAAACAAAACUAAUAAUUUUAUUUCUUGACGUUACCCGAAAAAGAAGCACCGGCUAACUCCGUGCCAGCAGCCGCGGUAAUACGGAGGGUGCUAGCGUUAAUCAGAAUUACUGGGCGUAAAGAGCACGUAGGUGGUUUUUUAAGUCAGAUGUGAAUCCCUGGGCUUAACCUAGGAACUGCAUUUUGAAACUGAAAUACUAGAGUAUCGUAGAGGGAGGUAGAAUUCUAGGUGUAGCGGUGAAAUGCGUAGAUAUCUGGAGGAAUACCUGUGGCGAAAGCGGCCUCCUAAACGAAUACUGACACUGAGGUGCGAAAGCGUGGGGAGCGAAACAGGGAUUAGAUACC
rnacentral:rRNA from 1 species